rnacentral:sRNA from 1 species
GCGGCCGGAGCCUGAGCCAGGGCCCCCUCCCUCGUCAGGACCGGGGCAGCAAGCAGGCCGGGGGCAGGUCCGGGCACCCACCAUGCGAGGCGAGCUCUGGCUCCUGGUGCUGGUGCUCAGGGAGGCUGCCCGGGCGCUGAGCCCUCAGCCCGGAGCAGGUCACGAUGAGGGCCCAGGCUCUGGAUGGGCUGCCAAGGGGACCAUGCGGGGCUGGAACCGGAGAGCCCGAGAGAGCCCUGGGCAGGUGUCAGAGCCGGACAGGACCCAGCUGAGCCAGGACCUGGGUGGGGGCACCCUGGCCAUGGACACGCUGCCAGAUAACAGGACCAGGGUGAUGGAGGACAACCACAGCUAUUAUGUGUCCCGUCUCUAUGGCCCCAGCGAGCCCCGCAGCCGGGAACUGUGGGUGGAUGUGGCUGAGGCCAACCGGAGCCAAGUGAAGAUCCACACAAUACUCUCCAACACCCACCGGCAGGCUUCGAGAGUGGUCUUGUCCUUUGAUUUCCCUUUCUACGGGCAUCCUCUGCGGCAGAUCACCAUAGCAACUGGAGGCUUCAUCUUCAUGGGGGACGUGAUCCAUCGGAUGCUCACAGCUACUCAGUAUGUGGCACCCCUGAUGGCCAACUUCAACCCUGGCUACUCGGACAACUCCACAGUUGUUUACUUUGACAAUGGGACAGUCUUUGUGGUUCAGUGGGACCAUGUCUAUCUCCAAGGCUGGGAAGACAAGGGCAGUUUCACCUUCCAGGCAGCUCUGCACCGUGACGGCCGCAUUGUCUUCGGCUAUAAAGAGAUCCCUAUGUCUGUCCCGGAAAUCAGCUCCUCCCAGCAUCCUGUCAAAACCGGCCUAUCAGAUGCCUUCAUGAUUCUCAAUCCAUCCCCGGAUGUGCCAGAAUCUCGGCGAAGAAGCAUCUUUGAAUACCACCGCAUAGAGCUGGACCCCAGCAAGGUCACCAGCAUGUCGGCCGUGGAGUUCACCCCAUUGCCAACCUGCCUGCAGCAUAGGAGCUGUGACGCCUGCAUGUCCUCAGACCUGACCUUCAACUGCAGCUGGUGCCAUGUCCUCCAGAGGCCCCUCAACAACCAGGAUGAAAACAUGUAUGUGAAUUGCCUGGAUUCUCAGCAGUGUCAUGGCAGCUCAGAGUCAAGGCGACCUUGAGGAUCACUGGAGCUCAUGCAGUCCUGCUAGCCCCUACACCUACUCACAUGGGCAGAUGUGGCCUUGGUCCUGGGGAGCUGGGUCGGAAGGAAGGCAGGGAUGCCACAAAUACCUUCAUCUUCCGGGGAAGUAGAGGGAACAGGAGUGCCUGACUACCUCAGCCUGGGGACCUUAGCUCCUCAUCUCACUAUCAGCAGAGAGCUAUUACUGAACAGUGAAAGGGGAAGGCUUCUUUGUCGAUCCCAUCAUAACUCUGACCUUUUGGUCCUCCUGCAGAUGCUCCAGUGGCUUUGACCGCUAUCGCCAGGAGUGGAUGGACUACGGCUGUGCACAGGAGGCAGAGGGCAGGACGUGCGAGGACUUCCAGGAUGAGGACCACGACUUGGCCUCCCCUGACACUUCCUUCAGCCCCUAUGAUGGAGACCUCACCACUACCUCCUCCUCCCUCUUCAUCGACAGCCUCACCACAGAAGAUGACACCAAGUUGAAUCCCUAUGCAGGAGGAGACGGCCUUCAGAACAACCUGUCCCCCAAGACAAAGGGCACUCCUGUGCACCUGGGCACCAUCGUGGGCAUCGUGCUGGCAGUCCUCCUCGUGGCGGCCAUCAUCCUGGCUGGAAUUUACAUCAAUGGCCACCCCACAUCCAAUGCUGCGCUCUUCUUCAUCGAGCGUAGACCUCACCACUGGCCAGCCAUGAAGUUUCGCAGCCACCCUGACCAUUCCACCUAUGCAGAGGUGGAGCCCUCGGGCCAUGAGAAGGAGGGCUUCAUGGAGGCUGAGCAGUGCUGAGAACACCAAGUCUCCCCUUUGAAGACUUUGAGGCCACAGAAAAGACAGUUAAAGCAAAGAAGAGAAGUGACUUUUCCUGGCCUCUCCCAGCAUGCCCUGGGCUGAGAUGAGAUGGUGGUUUAUGGCUCCAGAGCUACUGCUUGCUUCGUCAGCACACCCCGAAUAUUGAAGAGGUGGCCAAAAAACAACCACAUGGAUUUUUUUGUAGGAACAACAACCUAAUCUCAUCCUGUUUUGAUGCAAGGGUUCUCUUCUGUGUCUUGUAACCAUGAAACAGCAGAAGAACUAACAUAACUAAUUCCAUUUUUAUUUAAGGGGCCUUUACCUAUUCCUGCACCUAGGCUAGGAUAACUUUAGAGCACUGAGAUAAAACGCAAAAACAGCAAUCAUGCCGUUUGCAAAACUAACUCUGGGAUUAAAGGGGAAGCAUGUAAACAGCUAACUGUUUUUGUUAAAGAUUUAUAGGAAUGAGGAGGUUUGGCUAUUGUCACAUGAGAGACUGUUAGCCAAGGACAAAGAAGUUCUGCAAACCUCCCCUGGACCCUUGCUGGUGUCCAGAUGUCUGCGGUUGUCAGCCCCUUCCUUUCCCCCUGACCUAAACAUAAAAGACUAGGCAAAGCCCGCAUAAUUUUAAGACGGUUCUUUAGGACAUUAGUCCACCAUCUUCUUGGUUUGCUGGCUCUCCGAAAUAAAGUCCCUUUCCUUGCUCCAA